CUGUAUAUACACUGAACAAAAUUAUAAACGCAACACUUUAGUUUUUGCCCCCAUUUUUCAUGAGUUGAACUCAAAGAUCUAUGUACACAAAAGGCCUAUUUCUCUCAAAUAUUCACACAUCUAUCUAAAUCUGUGUUGGUGAGCAUGUAUCCUUUGCAAAGAUAAUCCAUCCACCUCACAUGUGUGGCAUAUCAAGAUGCUGGUUAGACAGCA